rnacentral:misc_RNA from 1 species
CGCACCUUGCGCCCUUUGGUAUUCCGAAGGGCAUGCCUGUUUGAGUGUCAUUAAAUUAUCAACCUUGCUCGCUUUUACCGGCUUGAGUUAGGCUUGGAUGUGAGGGCUUUUGCUGGCUUCCUUCAGUGGAUGGUCUGCUCCCUUUAAAUGCAUUAGUGGGAUCUCUUGUGGACCGUCACUUGGUGUGAUAAUUAUCUAUGCCAUUUGACUUUGAAGCAAAACUUAUGGGAACCUGCUUACAACUGUCUCCGGACAAACUCUGACAUUUUGACCUCAAAUCAGGUAGGACUACCCGCUGAACUUAA